rnacentral:rRNA from 1 species
UACGGAGGGUGCAAGCGUUAUCCGGAUUUACUGGGUUUAAAGGGUGUGUAGGCGGACUUGUCAGUCAGGGGUGAAAUCCCGAGGCUUAACCUCGGAACUGCCUUUGAUACUGCAAGUCUUGAGGAUGAGAGAGUAAGUGGAACUGCGAGUGUAGAGGUGAAUUCGAUAGAUAUUCGCAAGAACACCAGUGGCGAAGGCGGACUACUGGCUCAUUCUGACGCUGAGGUGCGAAAG